rnacentral:misc_RNA from 1 species
AUUUUGCCAACAAUUUCAUCUUGAGAAAAAAGACCAAAGAUCGAUCUUUAAGCUCCUGGAUUCACUAACUAAAAUCAACUGUCAACUAGAAAGUACAAUAAACUUUACAAGUUCGAGCAUUUGAUUGCAGGUGGUUCGUCUAUGUACAGGUAUGAUUGUUCUUUUUUGUUUCCAGCUACAUCGCGAAGUUGAAAUUUUGACUGCCACUUUGGUUUUGAAAGCUGCUUUGAGGAGGCACUGGGUUGGUAUCCACUGCAGUUGUAAUAUCAUGGAUGCUUGACCUUUUCCGUUCUUUCUUCAUUGCCUGUUGUCUAAUGAAGUAUUUUUGAGCAUGACUAGCCACUUGUGUUGGUGUCCUUGAUACCACUACGUUUCUUGAAAUGCUUCUCCAGUCACCCUUCCCGUAUUUGUCCAGCCCGAUAAGGAAUAACCUGUGUUCAUCUUCAGUCCAUGGUGUACCCUUUUUCCUCUCAAUUUCAUUACUCUUCUUGUUUGACCCCGAUGUAAUCUGACAAUCGCCUUCCAAUUCAACCGGAUCAUCCGUAUAGCUCGGUAGAUCAAUCCGACCCGAAUCAAUUUCAUAUACAUCGUGAACAAGGUCAUCGUAAUGAGCCAUGAUAUCGUCGGCUGUUUUCCCGGGGACAUGAUCGGCGAUCAAUUGCCACCGGUCGGCGCUGUUCUCAGGGUACAAAACCAGGCCGUGUUCGAAGAGCUUGUCGUCGUCCCUCGUCCAUGUCGACAUUGAAU